GAUGAACGCUGGCGGCGUGCCUAAUACAUGCAAGUCGAGCGAACAGACGAGGAGCUUGCUCCUUUGACGUUAGCGGCGGACGGGUGAGUAACACGUAGGUAACCUACCUAUAAGACUGGGAUAACUUCGGGAAACCGGAGCUAAUACCGGAUAAUAUUUUGAACCGCAUGGUUCGAUAGUGAAAGACGGCUUUGCUAUCACUUAUAGAUGGAUCUGCGCCGCAUUAGCUAGUUGGUAAGGUAACGGCUUACCAAGGCAACGAUACGUAGCCGACCUGAGAGGGUGAUCGGCCACACUGGAACUGAGACACGGUCCAGACUCCUACGGGAGGCAGCAGUAGGGAAUCUUCCGCAAUGGGCGAAAGCCUGACGGAGCAACGCCGCGUGAGUGAUGAAGGUCUUCGGAUCGUAAAACUCUGUUAUUAGGGAAGAACAAACGUGUAAGUAACUGUGCACGUCUUGACGGUACCUAAUCAGAAAGCCACGGCUAACUACGUG
rnacentral:rRNA from 1 species